CGUGACGUGCCCCUCUGUCCGUGUUUGCCUUGCUAAGCACCGAGGCUUUCCACAGCAGGUCAGCGGAAAUGUCGGCACUGUGCAGCUUACGCCCUUGAAAGAAUAUAUACCCGAGGUUUUACCUUGGUGUCUCUCGGGUGGUUAUCCCACAGCAUAUCCGGACUGGUGGUCUGAUGCUUCUGCCAGAUAAACCUGAUGUGAUCAAAGCUGGUGGAUCCAGAGGUGGACCAAAGCUCCUGAGCCUGCCUGCCCUCUUGUCCUGCUGCACACGAGGCCCCCGAGCUGCCCGUGCUCUUGCUGUGCGAUGGGGAAGGCUGCAGUGAAAACGGAGAGGAUCUGAAGAUGUUCAACUAGACAUGGAAGCAGACUGUGUAAUGAAGCAUGACAAACUGCUUUAGUCUGGCUAUGCGCUCUAUAAUAUCAGAUCAAUCAGCCAUCUGGCUUGGGAAACUGGAAUAAUCUCACUUACCAAAGUGUACGUAUCCCUUUGGGAACUGCAGUUAGCUGCUGAGCUCUCUGAACCUUCCCUUUCUGAUGCAGAACGUCUCCGAAGAGUGCCCCACUUCAUUCGCGUGUCCUUCACAGCAGCUUGCUGACAAGUCCCGACACAAGACAGACGCCGAUCAAUAGCAUAGUUUUAAAUGUUAGGGAGAUGGAGUUUCAGGGAGCCUUCAUGUUAAUGUCAUUUGGCACUUAUGUGAAGUAAACAGCAGACAAGGAAAAGCAGGCUUGAAUUUGGCUCCGAGACAACGAUACGAACACAGUCCCUGCAUCUGUUUAACUGUCUGGGUUUGUCACGUCCCCUGCGGGAGGAUGCAGUCGUGGUUGGUGCAUCAGCGGGGGAAUUGCUGUUCCUGGGACUGCUUCCUUUUGUACCUCUGGCAAAUCCUUAUUUCUGGAGUCCUUAGCAUGCCAGAAGUAUGGGCUAUUACGCUCUAAAUUCUUCAUAAAGUACACUUGAAAGGUUGUGCACUUUUCUGUGCGAGUUGUUUUUAAUCUGUCCAAACUAUAAACUCCAGCUGAAUUACCUACAUCAGAAGAGAGCUGGAGUGGAAAUGCAGCACCUUCUUCAUUCUAGUUUCAAGUCAGUCUUUACAAAGUCUAGCUCUUGGUCAUCGUUAUGUCCCAAAGUUGACAGCAUUUUUUCUCAUCCUUUCUGAUAAGGUUAAAAAUCACCGUCCCGAUACAGCAUGUGAGUGACUUGGCCCAAACUAGCCCCAGAGACUUUCUGAGCCAUGAGUUGUGUCCAAGGAGAAACCACAGGCUUUUCUAGAAGACGUUACUGUAUCUGAUCUGAAGAAAUCAGAUGGCUGGCAAUUCCAGAAAGACACUCUCUCAUCCAGUAAUAUCAGAUAUUGCUUCUUCCCACAGACCUUGCCUUAUUUUUCCGUAGGCUAUUUCAGAGUUUCACCCUAUUUUGCCUUUUACUGAAAAGAGCAGCAAAUCACGUGCUAAUGCCCGGCCAGUUUGUGUGCCCUACAGCAGAAAGAUUUGAUUUGUAAAGACUAAUGGGCAAAAGUGUAAAUAAAUCCAAGGAGCACUGUCCAAAGGACAUUAAGUUGUACCUUGAGCAAGUUCCAGACCAUGUGAGAUUGCUUCCACAGACCGUGUGAAUAUAGAGUGGUUUCUUUAUGUUGCUUUUCAAUCUGAAGAACCAAGACUUGCCUGGGCUUAUAGUCCUUUGGGGUUUUGUCUGGGGUUUUUUUUUUUGCACCUUGAUCCCCUCCCUUCCCCCACUCCUUUGCUGCUUCUCAGCAUCCAAGUGUGCGAGUAGGUCUGUGAAGAUCAGAGGCAGUAGCUGAAAACUGAAUUUGGAAAUCUCACGUCUCUUCCUGGAAGACAUUAGUUGCAACUGUGGUGUUCUCAAAUAUUAGAAGAGGUUGCAAGGAUGUUGGUCCAAACCGGAGACUUCCAGCGGAUGUAGCUGUGCCACCAAGCCCCUGUGCUGUAGGUGCAACCAGGUGAAGAAAACGUGUAUGUGGAUUUUGCUGAACCUGUUGGUGGAAGCGGAGAAGUGAUACUGGGAGGGAAGCUCCCUUGGCUGAUGUGUGCCUCAUCUUUGCAGAGCUGAAGAGAGCUCCUUUAGCAGCGGAAUCCUUCCAAGAGGCAACAGGAAUGGAGCUGUAAGAAGAUGGCUACAUUGUGUUGGCUACUCCGUGCAUCCUGUGAACCAGCCCCUGCUGCAGACAAUCCGUGCCUGCGGAACAGGAGGAGGAAGCUGGGAAAGGAGGUGCAGCGCUUAGAGGACUUCCCAUAGUUAGACCAUGAUAGUUUGUGAGUCCCAAGAUAACGUUUCGGUGAAAAGACCUCUCUGUCAGUGGUGAUGUUUUGUCACGGUCUUUUUACUUUGUUUUUCCUCUGUCCCAUAGGCCAUUUCAACCUGGAAAAGUGUCACAAAUGUUUUAAAAUGCCAUUCACGCUUACAUGAAUGCAAAGGUUUUGUUGCAUUUACAACAGUGUAAUGGGGACAUAGUGUGGCAACUUGUGUGCAGGUUCUUUUUUGCUUGGUUUUUUUUUUUAACUUCAAAGGAUCCCAAAUGCUGGGGUGAAACUUGUGUGUCAUUUCUCUGAAACUCUGAUCCCCUUCCUGAGUAAUUCAGCAUCUGCUCUGGCUAGUCUGGAGCUGUGCGUCUUCUGAUCGGUGGGCGCAGAAAUGAGCACGUCGUGCUGCAUGUGUAACCUGUCAGUGGGGGUGGCAACGUGCACUUCUGUCUUCUAGCCAGCCACCGUUCUUCCAAAGACAGGAGUGUCGUAACAUCUGAGACAUUUAUUCUUCCAAAUUUGGAUAAGAUUGGCCAAUGGCUCAAACGUUAUCAGGGUCAAAAGGACAGAAGCAUAAUGGUGUAAACUUUGUUUCUAUAGGAAAGUAGGCUAAAAUCUGGAUGUGCUUCCAGAGGCAUGGAGCAGAGCUUGCUAAAUAAGAACUGUGGCAUAAAACAACAUAUUGUAAUUGCCUUAUUUGGCCACAUUUCUGUAAGUACGUCAUUACCUGCUUUGCCAUAAUUUUUAUUUCUUUCUAGAAUCUGGGUAAGUUUCAGACACUUCUCAGAUGCAAAAUUGAUCUCUCUGAAAGUCAGCUGUAGUGUUUUUCAGAAUUUUACCUGUUGCAGUACAGUUUAGUGCAAUGUUAAUUUACAGUUCUGUCAGGAUAAAAUAUUCUUGCCUUGCAAUCGAUGCAGCUGUAAUGUAACUUCAAAAAAUAUAAUGCAAGAAAUAGAACUUGGGUAUCAUUUGCCACUUAUAGUGGAGCAGGGUUGGGUAAAAUAAAAGCCUCUCAUCUUCGAGGCUGGAAUCUGUCCCAAUAAAAUGUGUCAUUGUUAAAUCGCAGUAGUUUUUAUCAUAUGGGGUAAAAUAUUGAUAAUGCAGGCAAAUGUGGUAUGAACAUUUUGACUUAAGCAAGAAAAAUCAAAAGUAUCUUUCUGCUACUUAGAUAUUGAUGAAUUAAAACACAGGAGUAGAUGCUGCUUUGGAAAUGACUAUGUACCAGCAGGGCUGCAAUGCAGCACUCAGAAGAGCUCUUUCAGUAUUUGUACUACAGAUAACAUUUCCUGAGCUGCUGAAGAGAAACUUCUGCUCUGACAAAUCACACAGAUUAUUCAAUGUCUAAGAAAACAGUAUUCCAAACACAUUAAUUAUAUUUGAGUACAAAUCAUAAAGUACCAUAGUAAAAGGCUGCUCUGCCCUUGAGACAUAAAUUCACUUGAAACCUCCCUGGUUUAUGACUCUGUCCUUCUCCACUAAAACGUGUGUCAGCACCAUGAGCCCUGAGAAGGUUCUCUAGCUGUCUUUAAGUCCUUGUCCCUCCCAGAAGCAGCAAAUAUCUAAUUUUUCACUGAUCUCUGUUUUUCUAAUAAGUGAACAUGCUAAACCAUUUUCUAGAAUUGUUUGUAUGAGAACUGUCCCAUCAAGAUUAUAGGCAGUAAAAUUUACCGCUGGGCAAUAUAGUGAUUUUAUACAGGGUAAUAUUUAUUUGGCAGGAGACAGGAGGAAUCAAGGUAUUUAAAUAACACACAGCAAUGGCACUGCUUUUGUCCACAUACAUAAUUACAGUCAAUAAUCAAUUGAGCUUUUUGUUCAACAGAAUUAUUUUCACAAUGAUUGCCAUUUUCCAAGUGUCUAACUCUAGUUAUAUGUGCUUACAGUUAAACCCAUCAACCAUAAAAUACAAAUAUAUGUAAGGAUAUAUUCAUUUACAAGGAUGUUUAUAAAUAUCUUGGUCUAGUUGACAUGACCGAACCACUUUUGAACAAAGAUCUGAUGCAGUUUGUUUUUUUUAAAAAACAUCACUGCUAAGACUUUGUUUGUACAUUCGGAUAGUGUCCUGGAGUUCAGGUUCCCCCUCCAGCUUUCCAUACUUAAUUCCAUGUUUCUGCUCCCCCAAGGAAGCUCACAGUCCUCCAUCAGGUUGCAUCAACUAACAACUUAACAUUCUCUUAUAAUUUUGUCUGCUUGCUAUACCAAUAAAAUAAGGGAAAAUAAAAUUUUCAGCAUUACC